UACUAUUUGUGUUUUUUUUUUUAAAAGGGGGGGUUUUUUUCCCCCCUUUUUAAAAAAAUUGGUUGGGGGUUUCAAAAACGGGGGGCCGGCGGAAACAACAAAAUCGAGGAAAAGAAACCAACCGGGAUUUGGCCCUAUGUAACGGCGAGUGAAGCGGCAAUAGCUCAAAUUUGAAAUCCUGGCCUCGGGCCCGAGUUGUAAUUUGCAGAGGAAGUUUCUGGUAGGGUCCCAUCUGAGUCCACUGGAACGUGGCGCCAUAGAGGGUGAGAGCCCCGUAUAGUUGGAUACCGAGCCUGUAUGAAAUUCCUUCGACGAGUCGAGUAGUUUGGGAAUGCUGCUCUAAAUGGGAGGUAAAUUCCUUCUAAAGCUAAAUAACUGGCCCGAGACCGAUAGCGCACAAGUAGAGUGAUCGAAAGAUGAAAAGCACUUUGAAAAGAAGAGUCAAAUAGCACGUGAAAUUGUUGAAAGGGAAGGAUUUUGUGACCAGACCUGCGCCGCGUAGAUCUCCCGGUGUUCUCAUCGGUGUACUCUGGCGUGGUGCAGGCCAGCAUCGGUUUCUGGCGGGGGAUAAAAGCGGUGGGAACGUAGCUCGCCUCGGGGAGUGUUAUAGCCCGCCGUAGAAUACCCCGGCGGGGACUGAGGACACGCGUUUUCACGGAUGCUGGCAUAAUGGUCACUAAUCACCCGUCUGAACCUGGGCCACACACGCGAUGCGACCGGUUUUUUUACCUUCCGCUUUAUUUUAUUUCCCACAAUAUAGAGAUGUCACAAUGCCCGCUCUAAGAUAAAUGUCCCAACACGAAGUUCCAUGAGAUCUCCAUUCCAUGGCCCCGCGGUGUUGAGAUCGUGUCGGAAAUUUUAGUGUUG
rnacentral:rRNA from 1 species